rnacentral:rRNA from 1 species
GACAGAGGGUGCAAACGUUGUUCGGAAUUACUGGGCGUAAAGGGCGCGUAGGCGGCCAACUAAGUCAGACGUGAGAUCCCUCGGCUUAACCGGGGAACUGCGUCUGAUACUGGAUGGCUUGAGUUUGGGAGAGGGACGCGGAAUUCCUGGUGUAGCGGUGAAAUGCGCAGAUAUCAGGAGGAACACCGGUGGCGAAGGCGGGUCUCUGGGCCGAUACUGACGCUGAGGAGCGAAAGCGUGGGGAGCGAACAGG